rnacentral:lncRNA from 1 species
ACUCUUUGUGACGUAGGUCUUUCUCACCAGUCAAUAAAAUAUAAUCCGAAAGCAACCUCCGGGCUGGCUUUAGCUCAGCGGUUACUUCGACAGUUCUUUAAUUGAAACAAGCAACCUGUCUGGGUUGUUCGAGACCCGCGGGCGCUCUCCAGUCCUUUUACCUCUCUGGGCGGUUCGAGACCCGCGGGAGCUCUCCAGUCCUUUUCACUGCUGAAGUUCAGCUCCCUUUCCAUGGUAAAAGGAAUCAGGGCUCCUCGGAGAAAUGGCUGAUUUUAGUACUGGGCAGGAAAUAUAGAAAUGGACGUGGAGCAUCUCAUAGAGCUAGAAAGUACUAACCAGGCCUGACCCUACUUAGCUUCCAAGAUCAGAGGAGACCGGGCACGUUCAAGAUGACUUGGAACUGAAGAAGCUGGCAAUCUGGAAAUGCCAAUGGACGCAGAUUUUAAAAGCCCCAGCAAAAGUCUGCUUUCUCUAUUCAUAGGACCAGGAUCAGGAAGAGGACAGCUUAGAAAGACAUAAAAUUCUUAGACAAUAACUGUUCUACCCCAGCCAAACACCAAACACACACACACACACACACACACACACA